rnacentral:lncRNA from 1 species
AAAUUUACGCCAUCCAUCUUCUCUAAAUAUCCUCGGACUCUCGUCCACACUCUCACUCAUUUGUCCCUCGUCUAGUGCAAUCUGCUUCUUGUCCAUCAUCGUGAUCUCACACACCAGCACUCUUUCUCACCCUCAUCUUUUUCCCUUCUCCCUCACAAUCUAGUUUAUUCCCCUCAACUCUUCCUAUUUUACAAUUAUUUACCUGUUUUGACUUCACUUCUCAGCUACAACUAGAUUUCUUUCUGCUACAUCCAUCCUUCUAACUAGUCCUUAAUAAAAUGCAUUUACUAGCAGAUUCUAACUCAAAAUCCAAUAAGUGCAACAUUACUUACCCCGUGCCUGCUUUCUUAAUUGUUUAGCCCUACGAUUUCCUCUUUUCUCUUUCUGUUAUCUCCAUCCAGACAUAUAUCCAUCUCAAAUCUCCUCUCCACUCCUUAUUUCAUAACUCUUUUUUAAAUCUUCUAUAACCAGAAACAUAUAAAUCCAAAAUGCACUGCCAUACUGAGUUUGAAGUUCGGAAUCUUCCUUACCUUUGUUCACAGUGACGUCGUUGAGUCAGUCGGCGUUUUUCUUUCUCAUUUCGCGCACGAUUUUUCUGUUAGCUCUGCCACUGUGGAAUCGCAUGCCAACCUCCCCUCUCUAUCCCUUAAAUUUUGAAUUUCAUCUUCUCUACUGUCUCACGAUCGACCUUCUCCCCCUCUCCUUCCUUACCGCACUCUUUUAUCUCUCUCUUGCUCACAACUGCAGUGUUGAUCCCUUCUCUCUCUGACUUCCUCUCUACCCGUCAAUAAGCUCUCUCUCUCCACUAAGGUUUCCUCUUUUCUUUUUUUUUUUUUUUUUAUUAUAAUCUUCGGAGGUUACAAUAUAUGUAUUACUGUAUAAAUAAUUAUUUAAAUUAAAUUUCUUUUUUAAAAUAUAUUUUUAUAUUAUUUCAAUAUCUAUAACUAC